UACUUACAUCCUGACCAAUUAAAUCCAAUGUUUUUGUAAAUACUGUAUACUUUCUCAUUCAAAAUGUGUAUUUCUUUUUCUACACAUAUCCUAAAGACACGUUCAUUUGAGAUAAGAUUAGGAAAUGUAUAUAUGUAUGUACCGUACACUCACUCAUAUAAUAACAUGUAUAUCUCCCAGCGACACUUGUGCAACUUAAUCGUCUUUAGUAUUCAUGUUACCGAUUUGGAAUAAACGUGUCUAUAAUUGAUCACUGGAUUUGAAAAGAAUCGAUGACCUUUUAAAAAGUUUCCGAUAAUAAAUUCACCUGAUAUGAGACAG
rnacentral:lncRNA from 1 species